rnacentral:rRNA from 1 species
UACAGAGGGUGCGAGCGUUAAUCGGAAUUACUGGGCGUAAAGCGUGCGCAGGCGGUUUUGUAAGACUGUCGUGAAAUCCCCGGGCUUAACCUGGGAAUUGCGAUGGUGACUGCAAGGCUAGAGUUUGGCAGAGGGGGGUAGAAUUCCACGUGUAGCAGUGAAAUGCGUAGAGAUGUGGAGGAACACCGAUGGCGAAGGCAGGUCUCUGGGCCAUAACUGACGCUGAGAAGCGAAAGCAUGGGGAGCGAACAGG